rnacentral:rRNA from 1 species
CCUACGGGAGGCAGCAGUAGGGAAUCUUCGGCAAUGGACGAAAGUCUGACCGAGCAACGCCGCGUGAGUGAAGAAGGUUUUCGGAUCGUAAAACUCUGUUGGUAGAGAAGAACGUUGGUGAGAGUGGAAAGCUCAUCAAGUGACGGUAACUACCCAGAAAGGGACGGCUAACUACGUGCCAGCAGCCGCGGUAAUACGUAGGUCCCGAGCGUUGUCCGGAUUUAUUGGGCGUAAAGCGAGCGCAGGUGGUUUAUAAAGUCGGUUGAAAAGGCAGGGGGGUAACCAGUUGUUGCAUUUGGAACCGGGAGGAUUGAGGGGAGGAGGGGAGAGUGGAAAUCCAUGGGUAGCGGUGAAAUUGGUAGAUAUAUGGAGGAACACCGGAGGCGAAAGCGGCUCUCUGGCCUGUAACUGACACUGAGGCUCGAAAGCGUGGGGAGCAAACAGGAUUAGAUACCCUAGUAGUC